AAGCCCAUGAAAAAGGCAUAACCUCAAGAGGUCCUUAAAAUGCUCCCAAGCUGCAAAAAAAGAUUCUCCCUCUUCUUUCCUAAAAUGAUUUAUCUCACUUCUCAUGUGU